AAAUGCGAUAAGUAAUGUGAAUUGCAGAAUUCCGCGAAUCAUCGAAUCUUUGAACGCACAUUGCGCCUUUUGGUAUUCCGAAAGGCAUGCCUGUUCGAGCGUCAUU
rnacentral:rRNA from 1 species